rnacentral:misc_RNA from 1 species
UCCGGUUUGGCACCGGCAGUCUCUCUAGAGUCCCCGCCAUUACGCGCUGGUAACUAAGAGCAGGGGUUGCGCUCGUUGCGGCACUUAAGCCAACACCUCACGGCACGAGCUGACGACAGCCAUGCAGCACCUGUGCUAGCCCCUUACGGACACCGGCUUUCACCGGCUUUAACUAGCAUGUCAAACCUAGGUAAGGUUCUUCGCGUUGCGUCGAAUUAAACCACAUGCUCCACCGCUUGUGCGGGGCCCCGUCAAUUCCUUUGAGUUUUAGCCUUGCGGCCGUACUCCCCAGGCGGGGUGCUUAAUGCGUUAGCUACGGCACGGAAGGAGUCGACACCUCCCACACCUAGCACCCAUCGUUUACGGCGUGGACUAC